rfam:Gossypium hirsutum cultivar TM-1 chromosome 26, whole genome shotgun sequence
AACCCAUGGUGAGGUCAUCUUCGCAAAAGGUCCUUAUAUCUCUCUCAUACAUCGUAGAUUGUUUCUAAAUCCAUCUGCACAAAAGAAGAGAUCAUAUUACAUAAUUU